rnacentral:rRNA from 1 species
CGGGGGAUCGAGAUCUACGGGAGGCAGCAGUGGGGAAUUUUCCGCAAUGGGCGAAAGCCUGACGGAGCAAUACCGCGUGAGGGAAGACUGCCUAUGGGUUGUAAACCUCUUUUUUCAGGGAGGAAUAAAAUGACGUGUACCUGAAGAAUAAGCAUCGGCUAACUCCGUGCCAGCAGCCGCGGUAAGACGGAGGAUGCAAGUGUUAUCCGGAAUCACUGGGCGUAAAGCGUCUGUAGGUGGUUUAAUAAGUCAACUGUUAAAUCUUGAGGCUCAACUUCAAAAUCGCAGUCGAAACUAUUAGACUAGAGUAUAGUAGAGGUAAAGGGAAUUUCCAGUGGAGCGGUGAAAUGCGUAGAUAUUGGAAAGAACACCGAUGGCGAAAGCACUUUACUGGGCUAUUACUAACACUCAGAGACGAAAGCUAGGGUAGCAAAUGGGAUUAGAUACCCCAGUAGUCCUAGCCGUAAACUAUGGAUACUAGAUGUUGAACAGAUCGACCUGUGCAGUAUCAAAGCUAACGCGUUAAGUAUCCCGCCUGGGAAGUAUGCUCGCAAGAGUGAAACUCAAAGGAAUUGACGG